GAUGAACGCUGGCGGCGUGCCUAAUACAUGCAAGUCGAGCGAACAGACGAGGAGCUUGCUCCUCUGACGUUAGCGGCGGACGGGUGAGUAACACGUGGAUAACCUACCUAUAAGACUGGGAUAACUUCGGGAAACCGGAGCUAAUACCGGAUAAUAUAUUGAACCGCAUGGUUCAAUAGUGAAAGACGGUUUUGCUGUCACUUAUAGAUGGAUCCGCGCCGCAUUAGCUAGUUGGUAAGGUAACGGCUUACCAAGGCAACGAUUCGUAGCCGACCUGAGAGGGGGAGCGGCAACACUGGAACAGAGACAAGGUCCAGACACAUACGGGAGGAGGAAGGAGGGAAGCUUCAGAAAUGGGAGAAAGCCGGAAGGAGAAACGACGCGUGAGUGAUGAAGGUAUUCGGAUCGAAAAACUCUGUUAUUAGGGAAGAACAAAUGUGAAAGUAACUAUGCACGUCUGGACGGUACCUAAUCAGAAAGCCACGGCUAACUACGUG
rnacentral:rRNA from 1 species